rnacentral:rRNA from 1 species
AAUCAACGCUGGCGGCGUGCCUAACACAUGCAAGUCGAACGCGAAAGUCCCGCAAGGGGCAAGUAGAGUGGCAAACGGGUGAGUAACACGUGGGUGACCUGCCUUCGAGUGGGGAUAACGUCCCGAAAGGGACGCUAAUACCGCAUGACAUCCUGCUUUUGGAAAAGCGGAGAUCAAAGCCGGGGAUCGCAAGACCUGGCGCUCGAAGAGGGGCCCGCGCCUGAUUAGCUAGUUGGNGAGGU